AAAUAACAGUUAUCGAUUGUCCGAUUAUGAACGAAAUCGAUUUUUCAUUCACUAGCGGGUUAGUUGGUUGGCUAUAGUUUUUAUUUGUUAUUCGAGUAAAUCGUUAAAAAAUAUAUAUAUUAAGCUCAGUCAUUUAAACAGGACAAACUCUAAAUGGUCUUUAACACAGUGAAAAAAUUUUAACGCCUAAAUAUUGUCAAUUUCGUUCAAAUUUUAUUCGGGGACUAUCGACAAAAAUUUAAAUGAGGCCAGCGGCACCAUCUCAUGUUUAUUUCUAACGCCAGCGCAUGAUUUGAAAUAGCCACUAUGCUAUUUUUAAAAACAGACGUAAUGAAAAUUCCGAUCAACAGUUUUUUUUUCAAAUUUGAUAGCCGAAUUCGACAUACGUUAUACCAAAAACGUUAUAGAUUAUUCGCCUUCGACAACUAUAAUACCGUUUUGUAAAAGUUUCGAAAUUCGACUACACCUUCGACAACCGAAAUAAGGGUAAAUGACAUCCCUAUACAAUCGGUAGAUAACCUGGAAUGCUUUGUCACAUUCAAUGACAAAUUGAAUUUUGGUCCUCAAAUAGAGCGGGUUAUAUCGCGCACGUAUUGCUCUUGCGCCGUCUUCAUAAUUGCGAUCUGCUUCUACCAAGGUCUAAGAACAAUCUGGUUCAUGCUCUGAUAACGCCCAAUAUUCUUUACUGUUUAGAAGUUUACAUCGGUUCAGACUAUGGAUAGGGUGAAAGUGUCUUUUUGGGUAUAAAUACCAACUUUGCCUCGUGCCAGACUUUCGGAGUGUAUGCAAGUCCUAGGAACGAUGUAAAAAUAGUGGCCAGAUGAGACGCCAGAUAGUUUGCCUCUUCCUAUAGUAACGCCGGAAGUAUUUCAUCAGGUCUGGGUGACUUAAAUGGUUUGAAGCUCCUCAAGGAUUCCUUCACCAUAAAUUCCGUAAUUAUAAACCUUUGAUCAAUGCCAUUAUUCCAAGAUUCCAGUGUCUCCGUGAGUCCCGUUGUAUCCUGUGGAAAAUAGGUUUUCAUCAAAAGCCUUCAACAUGUUCUCCGUUGUCUCUGCUCUCACUCCCAUGUCGUCUACUAACGCGUCAGUUUGGACAUGGGUUUUUGAGAGAAACUUUUUUAUCUUGGCGGCGUCAUUAACGCUAUCGACCUGUUCGCAGAAAAGUUUCCAGGAGGAGCCGUGUGUAAUACACAACACAAUUUCGUACUUUGAUAAAAUUGAGUUCUGAAACUCAAAAAAUUAAAUGAUAAGUUGAAAUAUAAAACUUAUUUUUGUAUUUAUGACAUUUUACCAUCUGAAACAAGCAGAAAAUUACGUUUUUACAAGAAAUUGUUGCUUUCCUAUUUCCAGCAGACUAUCUGUCGUUACUCCAAAAUUUUUUGUUAA